AUUGAACGCUGGCGGCAGGCCUAACACAUGCAAGUCGAGCGGAUGAAGGGAGCUUGCUCCUGGAUUCAGCGGCGGACGGGUGAGUAAUGCCUAGGAAUCUGCCUGGUAGUGGGGGAUAACGUCCGGAAACGGGCGCUAAUACCGCAUACGUCCUGAGGGAGAAAGUGGGGGAUCUUCGGACCUCACGCUAUCAGAUGAGCCUAGGUCGGAUUGGCUAGUUGGGGGGGUAAAGGCCUACCAAGACGACGAUCCGUAACUGGUCUGGGAGGAUGAGCAGUCAUACGGGAACGAGGACACGGACCAAACUCCUAGGGGAGGCAGCGGUGGGGAAUGUUGAACGGGGGGAAAAAGCCUGAUCCAGCCAUGCCGGGUGUAAGAAAGGUCUACGGUUUGUAAAGCACUUUAGGUUGGAAGAAAGGCAGGUAAGUUAAAACCUGCCUGUUUUGCGGUAACCAACGAAAAAGCACCGGCUAACUUCGUG
rnacentral:rRNA from 1 species